rnacentral:rRNA from 1 species
UACGUAGGUGGCAAGCGUUGUCCGGAUUUAUUGGGUUUAAAGGGUGCGUAGGCGGUUUUCUAAGUCAGCAGUGAAAUACGGCAGCUCAACUGUCGAGGUGCUGUUGAUACUGGGGAACUUGAGUACUGAUGAGGCAGGCGGAAUUCCGGGUGUAGCGGUGGAAUGCGUAGAUAUCAGGAGGAACACCGAUGGCGAAGGCAGGUCUCUGGGCUGACACUGACGCUCAUGCACGAAAGCGUGGGGAGCAAACAGG